AUCGCGCGCCCGCGUAAUAUGAAAUUAGAUCGUAUAUUCAUGCCGUGAAGCGUGUCGCCAUUAUAUACCCGGCGUGAAACGAUACCGAUUUUAUUCGAUAGGUCGAAUGAUCGACGCUCGCCAUCACGUGACGCUACGAUCGAACGGGAUUGGUAAGAUUCGACUUGAGCAGGUUAUGCGUGCGCACUUUUCAUAAUCCUAAGCGUAAUAUCGAUUUGAAAAAUGCACCGCGUCUUGGUCAUUCAGUUGAAGCAGAUGACGGCAAAAUAAAAGCAAUGAUGGAUGGUAACCGUCGUAUAACAACGCGAGAAAUAACCGAGAAGUUGAAUUUAUUAAAUUUGACCUGUUCACGACCAUUUAAAAAGCUUCAAAUUUUAAAUAAGAAGAAAUGGUCAUUUAAUAAUCAUUAAAAUAACGUAAUUACUUUUCGUAAUACAUUUCUAAUCAUUACGAAAUUGUUUUUUUAUUAUUAGAUUACACUUAUUACGAAAUAUUUUUUCCAAAUAUCAAGAAAAGAAAAAAUAUUAUAUUUCAAUUAAUAUGCAUAUGCAUUAAACAUAUAUGCAUUACGCUUGGGAAAAUCGAAAGUGUAGAGAAGCGUGUCACUUUAUACUAAUAACAGUGUAAACUAGUUUUACGUGCCAAAACAAUGUAUUCCAAUAUAUUCAUCGAAUUCAUGUUUUUUGAUUGUAUAAUACAUGAGGGAAUUUAGAUCGUAUACGCAUAAAUAAUAAUAAGAGGAAGAAGGAAAAAAAAAAGAAUAAAAAGAAGGAGAAAAAAUGUAGAAUAAGAUAAUUAACCGAGGUUGCGAAAUAAAAGUGCAUUUAAAAGCGCAAGUUCGAAUUGGUUUUCUUGAAAAGAGCGGUAGAAUAGGAGGAGGAGAAGAAGAAGGA
rnacentral:lncRNA from 1 species